GAUGAAGAACGUAGCGAAAUGCGAUAAGUAAUGUGAAUUGCAGAAUUCAGCGAAUCAUCGAAUCUUUGAACGCACCUUGCGCUCCUUGGUAUUCCGAGGAGCAUGCCUGUUUGAGUGUCAUUAAUAUAUCAACCUCUUCAGCUUAUGCUUGUUGAGUGUUGGAUGGUGGGGGUUUGCUGGUGUCUUAUGAAGUCAGCUCCUCUGAAAUGCAUUAGCGGAACAAUUUGUUGACCGUUCAUUGGUGUGAUAAAAAUAUCUACGCUAUUGACGUCAGUCAGUUCAGCUUCUAACAGUCCAUUGACUUGGACAAAUUUUUCAUUAAUGUGACCUCAAAUCAGGUAGGACUACCCGCUGAACUUAAGCAUAUCAAUAAGCGGAGGA
rnacentral:misc_RNA from 1 species